AUACUCUGGUUUCUCUUCAGAUCCUAUAAAUCUUUUGCCUUUUACUAAAGAUUUCCGUGGAAAGGAACAACUCUGAGUCUUAAACCAAUUUUUUGAGGCCUUGCGUUUGCUAAGGCU